rnacentral:rRNA from 1 species
GACGAACGCUGGCGGCGUGCCUAAUACAUGCAAGUCGAGCGCAGGAAAUCGACGGAACCCUUCGGGGGGAAGUCGACGGAAUGAGCGGCGGACGGGUGAGUAACACGUAAAGAACCUGCCCUCAGGUCUGGGAUACCACGAGAAAUCGGGGCUAAUACCGGAUGGGUCAUCGGACCGCAUGGUCCGAGGAUGAAAGGCGCUCCGGCGCCGCCUGGGGAUGGCUUUGCGGUGCAUUAGCUAGUUGGUGGGGUAAUGGCCCACCAAGGCGACGAUGCAUGGCCGACCUGAGAGGGUGAUCGGCCACACUGGGACUGAGACACGGCCCAGACGCCUACGGGAGGCAGCAGUAGGGAAUCUUCCACAAUGGACGAAAGUCUGAUGGAGCAACGCCGCGUGAACGAUGAAGGCCUUCGGGUCGUAAAGUUCUGUUGUAAGGGAAGAACAAGUGCCGCAGGCAAUGGCGGCACCUUGACGGUACCUUGCGAGAAAGCCACGGCUAACUACGUGCCAGCCGCCGCGGUAACAC